GCGUGAUAAGUAUCUUCGCUGGCUCUCCUUCGGGAGGUGUUCGAACGUUUAGCUCUGCGCUUCUAAUCGUCCCUUGGGACUAAGCCUCGGCUUACUUUGACAACUUGACCUCAAAUCGAGUAGGACUACCCGCUGAACUUAA
rnacentral:rRNA from 1 species